rnacentral:lncRNA from 1 species
AGUCCUUCGCCGUCCCUCGCCGUCCUUCGCCAUCGCACGCCACCGCACCCCAUCUCUCGAAAUCUGCAGACAUCUUGAUUUUUCCCACGCUGUCUGUCAGGUCUCCGCCGCCACUCGACGCCAGGGCGCCGGGCCUUGUGGGCUGUGCUGCACCUCGGACGGCUUCGCACCAGCCAGCGCCCUCUCUCUCCUGCAGCACUCUGAUCUGCACCCCCUGAGGGGCUUCCACUGUCCGCGGGGUGAGAAUGCCCCUGGGAGUGUCACAUGACUGCCGCCCCAUGUGUGUGAGAGGCGUCCUCUGGGAGAGCAUGGAUCCUGAGGUCCCAGGAACAUCCCGAGAGCCAAGUUCCCAGAUGCCAGCCAAGGGCCAUCUGACCUGUUUUGAAUCUCAAUUUCCUGAUACAGAAAACAAAGGAUUGUCAGCUGACCUCUGUCCUGUGUGCCCAGUGGCCCCAGGUGACGUGUCUUCAAGAAGAGGCUGAGCUGCGGUGCUUGUAAGAUGGGUCUGCUGUGUGCAGAGGCUCCAUGGGAUGUGUUGUCUUCAUAGUAGCAGGGCGCUGGACCAUGGGUCCGCAAGGUCUCAGCCUUAGAUCCAAGGACAGUCCAAGGAAGUCCUAAGACCAUGGAGUUGGUGAUCUGGGAUCUGGGUUUGCUGAUAUUUCUCACCGUGAAUCUCUUGGUGGUGUUUGUGGGCACGAGAGGGGCAGAGAAUGGAGAGUGAGGCUACCACAUGAAGCGUCACCAGAGCUGCUCCCUGCUGCCUGCUCAGAGCACCCCGGAUCCACUGUUCAAUCUGCACAAGAUUCGGGGUCCAGACAUGGGAGACUUCAGCUGCCUCAGAGGACCGUGGACAGGGAAGGCCAGCCUCGCAUCCCUCUGUCCAUGCCUGGAAUGACUUUAAUAACCAAGAGUUUUAUUUUUGAAUUUGUAGCUGUCGUUCACUUUUUACCCACCCAUUCAAUAAACCUUACAGAAUUGCUCCAUGUGCUUCUUAAAUCAGUGACAACCUGUGAGCCUGCCAGGCUGGCUUUGGAGAAGAGGGAGGAAUCUACACAUGUCCCAGGGGCCAUGGUGAAAAGGUGCAGUUAAUCUCCCCACUUGAAGUUAAAACCACCUUGGCUGGAGUUGGGGCAAAAAUCACGCUGCGUCUCGCUGCUGACUCCCAGGCUGGAAUACUCUGGCGUGAUCUUUGCUCACUGCAACCUCCACCGCCUGGGUUCAAGCGAUUCUCCUGCCUCAGCCUCCUGAGUAACUGGGACUACAGGUAUGUGCCCCUACACCCGGCUAAUUUUUGUAUUUUUAGUAGAGACGAGGUUUCACCAUGUUGGCCAGGCUGGUCUUGAAC